GGCAUCUAUCUGAGAAAGAAACAUCCUGCAGCAUGUCAAUUCAGAGUCUUAUAUAACCAGUGAAGCCACAGAAUAAAGGAAACUGCAAAUCCUAGUCACACAUUUCAGCAUAAAUAUAAUGUAGUUUCUGAGGUGCAUGUACUCGUUGUUAACAUUAGAGUACAACUAGUAGUUUUAUUUGUAGAAUUAAUUAGUCAAAAAUGUAGCAAUAGUUUAUUUGCAGGUAUCAUCAGAACAAC